UACAGAGGGGGCAAGCGUUGUUCGGAAUUACUGGGCGUAAAGGGCGCGUAGGCGGCCUUCUAAGUCGAACGUGAAAUCCCCGGGCUCAACCCGGGAACUGCGUCCGAUACUGGAAGGCUUGAAUCCGGGAGAGGGAUGUGGAAUUCCAGGUGUAGCGGUGAAAUGCGUAGAUAUCUGGAGGAACACCGGUGGCGAAGGCGGGACUCUGGGCCGAUACUGACGCUGAGGAGCGAAAGCGUGGGGAGCGAACAGG
rnacentral:rRNA from 1 species